GCUACACAUGCAAGUCGAACGAAGUAGCAAUACUUAGUGGCAGACGGGUGAGUAACAUGUGGGUAUCUACCCUUUGGCCUGGAAUAACACGAGGAAACUUGUGCUAAUACCGGAUAAGUCUUUACGGAGAAAGCUUUAUGCACCAUUGGAUGAGCCCGCACUUGAUUAGUUUGUUGGUAGGGUAAUGGCCUACCAAGACUAUGAUCAAUAGCUGAUUUGAGAGGAUGAUCAGCCACAUUGGGACUGAGACACGGCCCAAACUCCUACGGGAGGCAGCAGUGGGGAAUCUUGCACAAUGGAGGAAACUCUGAUGCAGCGAUGCCGCGUGAGUGAAGAAGGCCUUUGGGUUGUAAAGCUCUUUCGUCGGGGAAGAAAAUGACUGUACCCGAAUAAGAAGGUCCGGCUAACUUCGUGCCAGCAGCCGCGGUAAUACGAAGGGACCUAGCGUAGUUCGGAAUUACUGGGCUUAAAGAGUUCGUAGGUGGUUGAAAAAGUUGGUGGUGAAAUCCCAGAGCUUAACUCUGGAACUGCCAUCAAAACUUUUCAGCUAGAGUGUGAUAGAGGAAAGCAGAAUUUCUAGUGUAGAGGUGAAAUUCGUAGAUAUUAGAAAGAAUACCAACUGCGAAGGCAGCUUUCUGGAUCAUUACUGACACUGAGGAACGAAAGCAUGGGUAGCGAAGAGGAUUAGAUACCCUCGUAGUCCAUGCCGUAAACGAUGUGUGUUAGACGUUGGAAAUUUAUUUUCAGUGUCGCAGGGAAACCGAUAAACACACCGCCUGGGGAGUACGACCGCAAGGUUAAAACUCAAAUGAAUUGACGGGGACCCGCACAAGUAGUGGAGCAUGUGGUUUAAUUCGAAGAUACGCGCAGAACCUUACCAACACUUGACAUGUUCGUCGCGACUCUAAGAGAUUAGAGUUUUCGGUUCGGCCGGACGAAACACAGGUGCUGCAUGGCUGUCGUCAGCUCGUGUCGUGAGAUGUUGGGUUAAGUCCCGCAACGAGCGCAACC
rnacentral:rRNA from 1 species